rnacentral:tRNA from 1 species
AGGGGUGUAGCUCCAAUUGGCAGAGCGCCGGUCUCCAAAACCGGAUGUUGUGGGUUCGAGUCCCGCCACCCCUGCAA